UACGUAGGGUGCAAGCGUUAAUCGGAAUUACUGGGCGUAAAGCGUGCGCAGGCGGUUUUGUAAGUCUGUCGUGAAAGCCCCGGGCUCAACCUGGGAAUUGCGAUGGAGACUGCAAGGCUUGAAUCUGGCAGAGGGGGGUAGAAUUCCACGUGUAGCAGUGAAAUGUGUAGAGAUGUGGAGGAACACCGAUGGCGAAGGCAGCCCCCUGGGUCAAGAUUGACGCUCAUGCACGAAAGCGUGGGGAGCAAACAGG
rnacentral:rRNA from 1 species